rnacentral:tRNA from 1 species
AUCUAUUUAUAAGUUGUUUUGAAAACAAUUUUUAAGAAUUUAAUUCUUGUAGUUUU